GUAGUUGUAGUAUAGUGGUUUGAGCGUUGGACUAUAACUCUGGAGAUCAGGGUUUGAUUCCCAGCUCAACCAUG